GGUGGCUGAGAUAUCUAGAUCACAGCUAGUCACCAGGCACUAAGCUGAUUCCCCUAUCUUCACUAUAAAUAGAUAAAUAGAUACUUACUAUCAUGUAGUGCAGGUAUUCGCCUUGGCUUGUAAGAGACAAACAAGGUCCCUAUUCCUAAGGAAGUGUAGUACAGGAGACAUAAUGACAGCUUCCUGCUUUUUGCCUCAGCUUUUACUGACAGAAGACCAACUCUUUCUUGGACUGAAAUAGCCUGCUAUUAACAGAAAAAUGAUCAUGUUGGGAUUGCCCUACAACUUAGUUAUCUUCUUUUUUUUUUUGAGACAGAGUCACUCUGUUGCCCAGGCCGGAGUGCAGUGGCACAGUCUCAGCUCAUUGCAACCUCUGCCUC